UACGUAGGGCGCAAGCGUUGUCCGGAAUUAUUGGGCGUAAAGAGCUCGUAGGCGGUCUGUUGCGUCGGCUGUGAAAACCCGGGGCUCAACCCCGGGCCUGCAGCCGAUACGGGCAGACUAGAGUUCGGCAGGGGAGACUGGAAUUCCCGGUGUAGCGGUGAAAUGCGCAGAUAUCGGGAAGAACACCCGUGGCGAAGGCGGCUCUCUGGAACGCAACUGACGCUGAGACGCGAAAGCGUGGGGAGCAAACAGGAUAGAAACCCUUGAU
rnacentral:rRNA from 1 species